rnacentral:siRNA from 1 species
CGGCAGUAAAGAGAUGACGGU